UGCCUAAUACAUGCAAGUAGAACGCUGAAGAGAGGAGCUUGCUCUUCUUGGAUGAGUUGCGAACGGGUGAGUAACGCGUAGGUAACCUGCCUUGUAGCGGGGGAUAACUAUUGGAAACGAUAGCUAAUACCGCAUAACAAUAGGUGACACAUGUCAUUUAUUUGAAAGGGGCAAUUGCUCCACUACAAGAUGGACCUGCGUUGUAUUAGCUAGUAGGUGAGGUAACGGCUCACCUAGGCGACGAUACAUAGCCGACCUGAGAGGGUGAUCGGCCACACUGGGACUGAGACACGGCCCAGACUCCUGCGGGAGGCAGCAGUAGGGAAUCUUCGGCAAUGGGGGCAACCCUGACCGAGCAACGCCGCGUGAGUGAAGAAGGUUUUCGGAUCGUAAAGCUCUGUUGUAAGUCAAGAACGAGUGUGAGAGUGGAAAGUUCACACUGUGACGGUAGCUUACCAGAAAGGGACGGCUAACUACGUGCCAGCAGCCGCGGUAAUACGUAGGUCCCGAGCGUUGUCCGGAUUUAUUGGGCGUAAAGCGAGCGUAGGCGGUUUGAUAAGUCUGAAGUUAAAGGCUGUGGCUCAACCAUAGUUCGCUUUGGAAACUGUCAAACUUGAGUGCAGAAGGGGAGAGUGGAAUUCCAUGUGUAGCGGUGAAAUGCGUAGAUAUAUGGAGGAACACCGGUGGCGAAAGCGGCUCUCUGGUCUGUAACUGACGCUGAGGCUCGAAAGCGUGGGGAGCGAACAGGAUUAGAUACCCUGGUAGUCCACGCCGUAAACGAUGAGUGCUAGGUGUUGGAUCCUUUCCGGGAUUCAGUGCCGCAGCUAACGCAUUAAGCACUCCGCCUGGGGAGUACGACCGCAAGGUUGAAACUCAAAGGAAUUGACGGGGGCCCACACAAGCGGUGGAGCAUGUGGUUUAAUUCGAAGCAACGCGAAGAACCUUACCAGGUCUUGACAUCCCGAUGCUAUUUCUAGAGAUAGAAAGUUACUUCGGUACAUCGGUGACAGGUGGUGCAUGGUUGUCGUCAGCUCGUGUCGUGAGAUGUUGGGUUAAGUCCCGCAACGAGCGCAACCCCUAUUGUUAGUUGCCAUCAUUCAGUUGGGCACUCUAGCGAGACUGCCGGUAAUAAACCGGAGGAAGGUGGGGAUGACGUCAAAUCAUCAUGCCCCUUAUGACCUGGGCUACACACGUGCUACAAUGGUUGGUACAACGAGUUGCGAGUCGGUGACGGCAAGCUAAUCUCUUAAAGCCAAUCUCAGUUCGGAUUGUAGGCUGCAACUCGCCUACAUGAAGUCGGAAUCGCUAGUAAUCGCGGAUCAGCACGCCGCGGUGAAUACGUUCCCGGGCCUUGUACACACCGCCCGUCACACCACGAGAGUUUGUAACACCCGAAGUCGGUGAGGUAACCUUUUGGAGCCAGCCGCCUAAGGUGGGAUAGAUGAUUGGGGUGAAGU
rnacentral:rRNA from 1 species